UGGAACCUGUAUAAGUGGUACAGAGAAUCAAAGAGGAGGGUCACUGCUCCUCCUCCUGGAAUGCAGGGCAAUAUGGCUCUCUUCUCAAGCUCUAACAGCUCCCAUCCGUGCCAGGACAAAGCCACAGUUAAUUGUCUGCAAGGUAAAGGACUCCUAUUUUCAUGCCCAGCUCAGCCAUGCACUGUGUCUCCUUGAAGCUCAUCCAGAUCUCAUGCAAACAGAAUUCCUUGCAGCCUUCUGGACAGGCCCUGACAGGCCUGAACUCACACACAAUAGAUUGUCAGCUCCAUGAGAACCGGGAUUUGUCUGCUUUGUUCCCUGCUGGAUCACCAGGACCUACAGUGGGCCUGAUACGUAGUAGGUACUCACUAAUAAUGGCUGAAUGAAGCAAGGAAGCAGUUCCACCACAACAUUGCCUUUUUCUUCCCUAUAACCUCCCCCGCCAUCUGACCUGCACAGCCAUGAAUGCCCCAAGCACCCUCCUCUGACUCCAGCCAAUGGUUGCCAGCCACAGCACCUACUUGUCCGACUCUCAAUAGUUCCUGGGUCACAAUCCCAAGAGGCAAAACCAGAUUGGCCCAGCUCUCUGUUUGUGGGCCGUGUCACAGGAUUCUGGCAAGUCUGUGAAUUAACCUCCCUGGGGUCCGCUGGCCCCCAGUGGUCAUGUGGUACAAAUGUGGGCACCCAUUAGGGGCAGUAGAUGGGGCGUUUCCCUUAGGAAGGGGUGUGGGUGAUUGACAUCCCUCUUUCACCAUGCAAACUAUUUGUUAGCAAAUUUGAUGAGAUUAGGCUAUGUUUCUUUUUAAGGGGGUGGGUAACUCUCCCAGGCAGCCUCUGAUUGUUCCAGCCGUCCUUGGCGUUAUUGUGCAUUCCAUAGAGAAGAUAUUUCUUGCCAGGCUCCACCUGUGAGCAAAGAAAUAAUGCACAGGCAACAGCUUGCCUCAGUUCAAUAUCUUUCUUCCACCACUUUCAAGGUUGUCAAUCAGCAAAGCCCUUCGGGCAUCGGACACUCUCCAAUUAUGCCUUCAAUAAAAGCCAGGGGGUGUUGCCAGCUGUGAUGACAAGUUGGGAACCUGAAGGACUGGUAACAUGCUAGCACCCUGGCAACCACAACUAGCAUUGCUUCGCAAAUGUUCCGUUCCAACAAUGUUUCCAGUCUACCUGCCAAAGGGGUGUGGCUUCCUCUUUGGCCACCUCCUGCGUAAACCAUGUGCAGGGGGCAAGGGCAGAUCCAGAAGAAAACAUGACCACAUCAAAGCAUAUCCGGGGCUGGCGCAUUCUUUUUAGUAAAGACUGUUUAUUUUCAAAGGCGCUGGGUGCCCCUGAUAGCUCUGCUCCACCUGGCUGCCACUUAUGAUGCUUUUUAAGGCCACCUUGUUUUCCAAGUCAUUUUAUAAGGUUAUGGAGACUCAGGAGCUGUGAGUCCCAAUUCAGAUUCAAAAUUUUAAAUUGAAGUAUUUCCUCCAGCGGCUGUUGGAUAUUUUAGCAAUGAGUAUUGACUGAGACCUCACAUGGGCUCAUCCUUUUCUAGAUUCUUUCAAGAGUAGGACUGAUAUUCAUCUAGUGCUGUCUGGUAUAGCCAUCCUGCAGUUCAAGUACUGAAAUACUUUCAUGCCACUUGGUAAAUAGCCAAUGCCCCAAGCAGCCCCACUCUGAAGUCUCCCACCGUCUUGUUACCCCUGCCCCUGCCCCCAUAAGACAAUAACCACAACCCUGCUCAGAACAAGCCUAAUGUGUUUUCUUUAGCUUGCAGGAAACCACAAAGAAAGGAAGGAGAAGAUGGCUGAACAAAACCAGUCAAAACUGGUUGAAGGCAACAUGGCGGUCUGACUUGACCUAAUAUAGAGCCAACAGCUCAAAAUAUGUUCACUGUAAUACAUUACCAUGCUACAUAACACACCCACUGGUGCCUUGACAGUUUACAACUGCCAUGGCAAAGGCAGGAUAUAACCAAAUAAGGAGAGAAAAGAGGUGGCACCCGAUUUCCCUGAAAAGCCUGUCCACUUCCCCAAACAAUUGUGAAUAUUCCUCCCCUUCAUUACCCUGACCCCUUAUAACAGCUGCUUAAUCACCCCAGGAGCUGAGAAGUUGGUAAGCGAACUUUGUUCCCACUCCUCCAUUCUUUGGCCGUUGAGUAAAGCUUGUGCUGUUGAACACUCAGCUUUGGUCUCAUUUCAAAGUUGCAACACUGAACAGAGGAAGAACCGCAGGAGGAAGAACAAGAGACCCUUCCUCAAGCCUCUCCCCAGUUGGAGAGACUUGUGCUACAUGAGUUGUUAAAUAUUUUGAAUAUGACUCCCACUUCUAAGUUAAAAACAACAACCACCACCCCUAAUUUUAGACACUUUCAUCCUUGCUAAUUUAUAGAGACAGAUGCAGUGGGAUUGGGAUUGGACCAAGGUCCUAAUCCCAUACAGAGGCAGGACAGCCCGAAACAGAAUUAGUCAUUCAAGCUGUGAUGCUAUAAGCAUUUUCCUCCAUUUUGGACAUCUCUUCACCAGAAUGAUACCCACGAGGAUAGGAAUUUUCAUCUGGUUUGUGCACUGCUGUGUUCCAGAACCCAGAACAGUGCUUGGCACACAGGAAGUGCUCAAUAAAUCAAUACAGCUCUUGAAGGAAGCCAGGAAUUCCCUGAUCUGAUAGCCCGGUUGUUGCCUACCUUGACAAGAAUUUAAAGCUUUUCAAGACUUCUCAGUUUUGACAUUUUUUCUUAAUUUUUCAGUCUCUUCACACAUCAAGGCACGGAGGCAAGCAUCUCCAUCACGCAGGCCGCUGCUGAUGUCUCCACAUACACAGCAAUGUGAUGUUUGUAGGAGCGCUCCUCUGUGAUCUGUAAGGCAUUCCAGUUUCUCCAAGAGACUUUGAUUUUCAUUUCUAGAAAAUUAGCCUCAUACACGACAUCAUUUUGGCCAAUGCAGCAGAAGCUGCUCCAGGAUGUCAGCCAGCGCAGGUGAAACAUAGAGAAGAGAGCAGCACUCUGCAAUCACAGCUCUGUCACAGCCGUGUCAUUUAUGGCCUCCUGUCUCAAAGUGCUCCAGGGCAGCGGAAUGGGCUUGGGGGCCAGGAGGAAGUGGUGCUGGCAGCAGGAAUUUGAGACCCGGAAUCAGCAAGUUCACAUUCUCUGGCCUCCCAGAGACAGGCUGCUCUGGAGAGAGGAAAAGUGCCAGGUUUCGUUCACCAAGCAUCGCUUAUCCGCUACCUGCCGCCCAGCUGUGCUCACCUGGGAUGUGUUUUCUGUCAGCAAGGUCUCUGCAGGAUUUGAAUGGUUAAGGAGAGAAGUCUCUGAAGGAAAACUUGUAAUGUGUGACGUUUGAAGAUCAGCUUCCUUCACUGUUUACAAAACUAUAGGGAGAAGCAUCAGCCCAUGAACACACAUUCCAUACAAAUCCACAUUUGCUCCUUGACUUUAGUUUGGGGACCAUUGCGUCUUCUGACACCCAUUCUACAAUGAGAUCCAUUCUCCACAGGGCCUAUGUUCUAACAUGGAUUCUCUGUCUACUUCAAUUCUAAUCACAACACAGAUGGCAUGCUUCCCUGCAAGUGACACGACCUACCAUGCAUCACAAUUACACUUUGUUUUUAACCCUUUCAUCCCUGCGUUGCCACGCAGUUUGCAAACUUUAAUUAAUACCCCCUCACAAAGUAGAAAGUAUUAUUAUCCUUCUGUUAAGGUUUGAGAAACCGAGUCACCCUAAGGCUGUGACCCACAGGCCCCAGGCUGAGUCAGUGUGAGAGAGAGAGUUGGAAUUCCUGACUACCAGCUACCUGGCCACGGGCUUGGCCUUACACCAGCUGCCAGGCAUUUUUUAUUUCAGCCCAGAACCAGUCGGAUGCCUUCUCUCAGGUCUCAUUCUCAUUCCACAGCUAACAAGGAUGUUGUGGCCCAGGAGAGGCAGAGAAGGGGAGAGAGGAGGGUUGGACACACAUCAGAGAGCAUCGAGGACCUUAGACGUGGUCAGGAAUGUGGGCCUGACCUGGGAGUUUUCUCUCAUGAACGUUAGAACACAAAGCCCCAUCUCAUUCCCUGAGCCUUCCAUAUGCCUCUCGCCAUUCUCAGGGCACGCUUAGUCCAUGCCCCCCAGAGCCUCCAUUCUUACUUACAUCAUUACCUCAAUUACCCCCAGCAUGCUCUGUCCUGCUGGCAGUCCUUGCUCUGAGCAAGACUUUGAGCCGUGUCCCUCCCAGAACCUAGAGAAAGUUCUCACACUAUUCAUCUUCAUUCUCAGCAACAGAGACAUUAGAGGAAGUUACCCUACUGAUGUGGCAAGGCUGAUGAUUUCUUUCUCCCCCAUCCCCUACUCCCACAGACAUCCACAGUACUGUUCUCCUCCUAACCCUAUCCAGCCAGCUCUCUUCAAAAUGACCUUUUUAUAUUUAAUUGUUCUAAGUGACUAAAUGAAUGGUUUCAGCCUUCAUCCUUUUCUUCCUGUCACCCUACUUGUGAUCAGUCCCUUCCCUUUCCUUUCUCCCUUACAUGAUGCACGCCUUGCCUCCUUCUGCAAACCCCAGACCCACACACCUUUGCCUAGAAGGCCUGGCCCUCCAGCUCGCCUUCUGUAUAUGGAAUCUCUCUAGCGCUCUCUAGAAAAGGAAGGCAGGAUUGACUCCAUUGGGAACCAGCUCUCGGGGCAUGGGAGAUUACAUCGUGCGGGGAAGACACAGGGAUGUCUGGGAACGUGUCUUGAUUGGGAGCAGGGUUCCCAGAUGUUGCAAACAACGACAUUCUUUUCCUGAAGGAGGAGAAACACAAGGCAGUAGAGUCCUGACAAGUUUUCAUUCAUUAAGAGUCAGAGCGGUGCAGUGGCUAAGAGAAUGGGCUAUGGCGCCCGACUGCCUAAGAGCAAAUCCUGGCUCCACACUUGCUGGCUGUAUGACUUAUGCAACUUUCUUCAUCACUCGGUACUUCAGUUUACUCUUAUGUAAAUUGGUUAAAAUCGUACCUCCUCCCUUGGAUUGUUGUGAGAAAUAAAUGAUUUAAGGCAUCUAAAAUUCCUAGGACAGUGUCUAGUUCCAAAUAGUUGUUAGAAUCCAACAUUUGUUUCAACAAACAAUUACUCAGUGCCAAACUCUGUACUAGUACAGGAGCUGGCCCUCCAGGGGUCUAGUUGGGGAAACAAACAGAUAUUCAUAGUACACUGUGGUCAUGGCAGUGAUGGGAAUAUGCACGGGGCAUUACGAGUCUGCCUUUUUGUGAAUUAGGAAACAAUUCUAGCCCCAAAGGCACAUGCUAGGCAGUGGAACUUGGGCUGGAAUUCAGGAAUUUAUUUCCUCAGCUAGGUGACACUGUGCAGUGAAAAACCCGCACAACUGUACAUGGUGGCACUGUGGGAUAGCAUCUAACCCACCUUGGGAAGGAAAAGGAACGGGUCAGUGCUUGAUUUGGAGAAAUGAUAGCUGAAUUUAUCCUGAUUAGGGGUUCAUUCAUCAAAAUGCAUAGGGAAAUCUGAAGUGGCAUUCUAGGCAGAGAGAACAGCACAAACAAAAGCAAAAGAGGCAGGAAAGGGCACAUUAUAUGUAGGGAAAUACAGGUAAUUUGGUACAGGUAUGAGACAGGGAAUGGAAAUCACUGCUUUAGGCAGGGGCUAAGUAAUGUAGGGGCAUCCACCAUGUUAACAGCAGCCCACCAUAUCUGAGAGAAGAUGGCCACGUGUCAGUUAUUUAUACUGACUCUGAGUUACUGACUUGAAUGUGAUUUCUUCUUUCCUUCUCUCUUCUACUUCAGGGUUUCAGUGAGUGUUGGUAACUACUGGUGCCCUGAGGACCAAUGAUCUAACAAUUUUGGUCUCCCCUCCUUUCUGGUCAUCAAGAUUAGACUGGGACCCUGUAUCAAGAAGGGGUCUUUCUAAUUUGUCAAGGAACACUAAAUGAAAGGUUGAAUUAUUUCUACCUUCUCUGGUCUACAACUUCCUCUGAAUUGCCAGGGGGAGCCUCACUCAAAUCACUUCAACAAAAGAAGAAAUGGAUACACUCUGAAUAUAGAAAUAAUACUGCCAUAACAUUUUACGUUUCUCACAUGGUGCAAUUCCACUGAAAGUGAAACGUACCAUUUCACUGUAAUGUGGACAUUCUCAAUUGUAACUUGGCUUUGGAGAUUCAACUUGUAUUUAGUGUUUUAUUUAUCAAAUGCCACAGACUUAGUAAAUAUUCGUUUUUUUCAUUUUGCAACCUUGGAAAGCAGAGUGGAUAUAUAUCCAGGGCAACAAAACAUGUUUUGUUUUAUACACAAAACAUGACCCUAGACCUAAGAACUCUUUAAUCCGUCUCAACCUAGAAUUUGGAUCUUGGUGCAAGUCUCUUUCAGUCACCUCACUUAAUUAUUCAAUAGCUGUUUAUUAAGUAUCUAGUAUGGGUCAUGAGAGAGACAUGAUAUGAGUUUCUAAUCUAUUAGAGAAGACCAAUAUGUAAGUGGAUAUUAAACUGAUGGGUGACCCAUAAGCACUAGAACAGAAAUAUGGGCAAAGCGUGUGGAAAUCAGAGAAGGACCAGCUUGGCUGGAAGAGUGGCUGAAGGCUUGAUAUAAGAGGAGGUUUUGAGCUGGCUCUCAGAGGCUGAGUAGGAGUUUCUUAGAGAAUGUGGAGAACAUUUCAGACAGAAGAAAGCACAAGGUUGUGAAAGAGUCUGGUAUUUCAGAAAACAACAAGACAUUCCAUCAGAAUGACUGUGGUGAAGGAUUUGGGAUCAGAGUGAGCCACUGCUGUAGGUCGAAACAGGAUUGUGAUGAGUCUUAGAGUCACAUGGUCAGGUUUGCUUUUUAGAAAGAUAUUUCUGAUGGCAGCGUAAAGGAUGAACUGGAAUGCAGUGCAAGUAGAAGCAGAGCAAUUGCACCCCCAGGUGAACAAUGGUGAUGGCCUAAUCUAAUACCCUGGGGAUGUUUAUAAAGUAGAAUCCUCUGGCUUUGUGACUGAUUGUCUAUGGAAGUGAGAGGGAGAGCUCAGGAAUGUCUCUGAAAUUUCUAACCUGAGAGACUAAAGAGAUGGCGACCCUAUGAACCAAGAUCAAAAAUACCUGAGGCAAAGGAGGUUAGGGAUAAAACAGUUCCAUUUGAGAUGUAUUAACUUUUAGAUGACUUAAGACAAUCCAAUUGGCAGUAUCUAGUUGGUCAUUGAAGAUAUUUGUCUAAGCUUAGAAGAACGAUCAGGGCUGGAAAUAGAGAUAUAUGGGUUGACCAUAUGAAAUCACCAACAUUUGAUCAUGCUUUACCUACAAAAAUGGCAAUUUCAUUGGGAGAAUAUUUCAUAUGGGAAAAUAUACAGAGUGAGAGAGAAGGAUGAGUACCAAGGAUAGGAUGUUAUCUGGGAAACUGACUUCUAAGGGUGGGCAGAGAAAUUGUGAAGAAAAUUGCAAAGAAUAGGUAGAAGAGAUACAGGCGAAAUUCUAGAGGGAGUAAUGGUGUAGAAGCCACAGUAGGAGCAUUUAUCAAAAAGGAGUGGAUGUUCGAGAGCCUUGGAUGCUGCAGAGGAUACAAGCAUGGAGAUGGAAAACAGGACUCUGAAUCUGGCAGUUGGGAGGUGACUGUAAUCUCAUCAGGAAUUUCAGCUGAAUGAUGAGACAAGAACUCAACUAUAAGAGGUCAAAAAGAGAGGGCUGACAGCAAGGUUUUACUUGUUUGUGUGGUUCAUUUUUUAAGGUUUGGGAAGAUUUGCACAUAUUUGUGUAUAAAAAGGAAGAAGCCAGAGAAAAGAAAGUAAUUGAAGAUACAAGAGAGAAGGAAUAAUUCAGAGAGCUGGGUCCUGGAGGGGGCAGAGGGAUAGACUUGAAUGCAUAGGAGGAGAGGUUUGCCCCAGACAUGGACAGAGGUGUAUCACUAAAGUCAGUUUUGUGUCCCUAACCAUUGUGUGUAUUUCCAGCCACACACUCAGAUCACAUUUAUUAGUGCAUUAGUGCUAUUAUGUUGUCAUGGGACAAAAAUCCUUCUCAAAGAGAAAGAGGGCAGAGAUUUUAAUUACCAGAACUUCUUUCCAGAGAUCAGUUCUAAUGCCUUUGAUGUUUUCUUGGACACACCUACUUCCCAGGUUGCAGCAUCAACUAAGCCCUCUCCACUGGCUAUCGAGGGCACGCCCUCACAAGAAGAGCCAUCUCCUUAGGAAGACCUCCAAAACAGUCAGGUUGUUUGGUAAGAACUAAAGGAGGAUGUCAGAAUUCACUCUGGCUGUCAGUCUCUGGGGAGAUGUUUGGGCUUAUCUUCUGGCCCUGGAACUAAUGGUCCCAACUCCUAUCACUGAGAAUAGUUGUGGCAAAGGGCUUUCAUUUGGUUCCAGUUUCUAACAUAACCAAAAGGAGAAAUUCAUCACCCAGGAAAGAUGAUAUUUGCUUAAUGAUGCAUCACAAACAUAGAUGCUGUCUUAGAAUUCCCAGCUAAUCCUGUCCUAGUUCUCAUCACGUUGGGGCCCAAGUGCUAGGAGUAUAUCUAAUCAGAAUAGUAGGAAAAACAGGAUUAAGAACACAAGUCUUCUUAACCAUGGAAGUUAAUAAGUAAAAGACCCAACAGCCCAACCCUCUAACAAGAGAGCCUGCAACCCAGGUAUUAGGUAAGGGACCCAAGUUGCCAGCUGAGCUGCCCAUAGACCUGGGAGCUUGGGAAAUGUGAGCUAUUGGUCACAGAGAAGACCAGAUUAGAGGCCAGGAUAGUUGCACAUAAGCCCUUCAUACAUUACUCACAUUGCACUUACAGGUAUCAUAAUUGUUAACUUAUGGCUCUGUCUCUGGUACAAGGACCCUGUCUGUCAUAAGAGAUGCUCAACAAAUCUGUCUCUCACAAAUGGGCAAGUGAAUGAAUGAAUGAUGUUGCCAAGUAACCAACAAUUUAUCCAAAUAGGAGUUCAGCUUGUCUUAGUGCUUGUGUGGGCAUAAAAGAAAAAUGAGGUAGGUCCUGUGGAAAGUUAUCAUACUACCAGUUCCUGAGCUAAGAUGGUGAAACCAGUUUUUAAAAAACAAGACCACAUGGGACUAGCCCUGUGACCUAGUGGUUGAGUUUGGCACGCUCCACUUCGGCGGCCCGGGUUCAGUUCCUGGGCACGAACCUGCACCACACAUCAGCAGCCAUGUUAUGGCAGCAACCCACAUACAAAAUGUGGGUGACCUAGUGGUUGAGUUUGGCAUGCUCCACUUCAGCGGCCCGGGUUCAGUUCCUGGGCACGGACCUGCACCACUCAUCAGUGGCCAUGCUGUGGCAGCAACUCACAUACAAAAUGUGGGAAGAUUGGCGUAGACGUUAGCUCAGGGUGAAUCUUCCUCAGCGAAAAUUAAAAAAAGAUCACAGAUCUUCAA